UACAGAGGGUGCAAGCGUUGUUCGGAAUUAUUGGGCGUAAAGGGCGCGUAGGCGGUGCGGUAAGUCUGUAGUGAAAUCUCUGGGCUCAACUCAGAGUCUGCUGCAGAAACUGCCGUGCUUGAGUGUGGGAGAGGUGAGUGGAAUUCCGGGUGUAGUGGUGAAAUGCGUAGAGAUCCGGAGGAACCCCAGAGGCGAAGGCGGCGUCCUGGCCCAUUUCUGACGUUCAGACAUGACAGCAUGGGGAGCGAACGGG
rnacentral:rRNA from 1 species